rnacentral:rRNA from 1 species
UUGGCUCAGGAUGAACGCUGGCGGCGUGCCUAACACAUGCAAGUCGAGCGGGGAUAUCCAGGAGGAGAGCUUCGGCAGGAAUCGGGAUAUCCAAGCGGCGGACGGGUGAGUAACGCGUGAGCAACCUGUCCCAGACAGGGGGAUGCCAGAUGGAAACAUCUGCUAAUACCGCAUAAGACCACGUUCUCGCAUGGGAGCGAGGUAAAAGGAGGAAUCCGGUUUGGGGUGGGCUCGCGUCCGAUUAGCUAGUUGGUGAGGUAACGGCUCACCAAGGCGACGAUCGGUAGCCGACCUGAGAGGGUGAUCGGCCACAUUGGAACUGAGACACGGUCCAAACUCCUACGGGAGGCAGCAGUGGGGAAUA